GAUGAACGCUGGCGGCGUGCCUAAUACAUGCAAGUCGAGCGAACAGACAAGGAGCUUGCUCCUCUGACGUUAGCGGCGGACGGGUGAGUAACACGUGGAUAACCUACCUCUAAGACUGGGAUAACUUCGGGAAACCGGAGCUAAUACCGGAUAAUAUAUUGAACCGCAUGGUUCAAUAGUGAAAGACGGUUUUGCUGUCACUUAUAGAUGAAUCCGCGCCGCAUUAGCUAGUUGGUAAGGUAACGGCUUACCAAGGCAACGAUGCGUAGCCGACCUGAGAGGGUGAUCGGCCACACUGGAACUGAGACACGGUCCAGACUCCUACGGGAGGCAGCAGUAGGGAAUCUUCCGCAAUGGGCGAAAGCCUGACGGAGCAACGCCGCGUGAGUGAUGAAGGUCUUCGGAUCGUAAAACUCUGUUAUUAGGGAAGAACAAAUGUGUAAGUAACUAUGCACGUCUUGACGGUACCUAAUCAGAAAGCCACGGCUAACUACGUG
rnacentral:rRNA from 1 species